UACGUAGGGGGCAAGCGUUGUCCGGAAUUAUUGGGCGUAAAGCGCGCGCAGGCGGUCAUUUAAGUCUGGUGUAUAAACCAAGGGCUCAACCUUUGGACGCAUUGGAAACUGGGUGACUGGAGUGUAGGAGAGGAAAGUGGAAUUCCACGUGUAGCGGUGAAAUGCGUAGAGAUGUGGAGGAACACCAGUGGCGAAGGCGACUUUCUGGCCUAUAACUGACGCUGAGGCGCGAAAGCUAGGGGAGCAAACGGG
rnacentral:rRNA from 1 species